AACGAACGCUGGCGGCAGGCUUAACACAUGCAAGUCGAGCGCCCCGCAAGGGGAGCGGCAGACGGGUGAGUAACGCGUGGGAAUCUACCCAUCUCUACGGAAUAACGCAUGGAAACGUGUGCUAAUACCGUAUACGUCCUUCGGGAGAAAGAUUUAUCGGAGAUGGAUGAGCCCGCGUUGGAUUAGCUAGUUGGUGGGGUGAAGGCCUACCAAGGCGACGAUCCAUAGCCGGUCUGAGAGGAUGAUCAGCCACACUGGGACUGAGACACGGCCCAGACUCCUACGGGAGGCAGCAGUGGGGAAUAUUGGACAAUGGGCGCAAGCCUGAUCCAGCCAUGCCGCGUGAGUGAUGAAGGCCCUAGGGUUGUAAAGCUCUUUCACCGGUGAAGAUAAUGACGGUAACCGGAGAAGAAGCCCCGGCUAACUUCGUGCCAGCAGCCGCGGUAACAC
rnacentral:rRNA from 1 species